ACCGCGCGGAGGACAACUUUUAGCCGGCAGCCCAGACCAGCGCGGCACCUGUCUCCGGAGUCUCCACCGCUCCUCCCGAUUCAUCCCAGGGAAAUUCUCAAGAAUACGCUCUACAAAUCUACGUGCGCAUCAUUUUCACCUCGCGUCGCGCCCGGGAGGAAGGAACGAGGCAAGGAGCUAAAGCAGCGUGCGUUCAGCCCUGGGGCAUUUUAUUAAUGCUUUUACGAGUUAGAAGAGUUGGGAUAAUUUGCCAUCUGGAGUUUCUCUGCCUUGCUGAUCUGAGCUCAGACCUGCCAAUUUACCAGAGAUAAUUGAUAACACCCUGUAACAGCUGAGAGGAAAAUGGAAGAAACGGAGAUACUUUUAGUGAAGCAGAAUAAACCACUGAACAGGAAAAAUGAGGAAGCUGUGAGUACCAGUGGAAGGAACGAGCCAGGAAGAGGGACUGGAACCAUCUCAGAAGCCAUGCCCCUCAGGCUGGAACUUGCCCUGUCUCCUCGCAGAUGAGACAGACGUUUAAGUACGAGAAAGCUAAUGGCGCAGAUUCUGCUGACUGUGUGGCUCUCGUCUUAAUGCGUUUUCCAACCUUGAACCUGAGAAUGCCAGAGGAUUGAGUCUCUGGACGUUCAUCUGAGCAGAUAUCUGCUGGCCGCCUGGUUCCUGAGCUAACAAGUGGGUGUCCCGGGCUUGUGUGUGUAGUCACAACAGUGGAGGUGCCACGUGGCACCCAGAGGUCGACUGGGGCUACCGCGGGGCUUCCCGAUCCUCACAAGUGUGUCUUCAGUGUCUGACAUGAACUGGGAACUUGGGGCAUCUUUAGAAGCACAGACAUUUGGAGUUCCACGGCAAACCUGGAUGUAAGCACUCACACAGCUUUUAAAGUGAAAGCAGGGACCUUGAGGAAGGAAUCGCCGUCAUCUCAUUGCCGACCUGCUUACUGUGCUGGGAAACAAAGUAAGUUCUGUUUGUUUCUUUGUUAGUCUCUCCUGCGUGUUUUUUCUUGCUAAUGUUAUUAGACACUCAAUAUCCGGCAAAUGCCAAGUUUUUUCCCCUUCAUUGGGAAGUAGGAUAUAGUUUAUUCAAUAGCUGAUUGCUUCUUUUAUCUUUUCCCUCUUCCCAUAUCUAGUGUGCCGGCUUGCUGUUUAGAGAUAGGAAGAGAUUGAAAUUUAUUAUCAAGGAGAAAACAAAAAGUGUUUUGUUUUGUUUCUAAAUGGUCCAAGAACUUUGCCAUUAGGUAAAUGACUAUGACACAGACAAGGCGUUUUGCAUGGUAUGACCAGGAGCACCUCUAGCAAAACAGCCCCAGUUCGCCGCCCUGAUUUCCAUUUGGAAGCAGGCACAGUGGGUUUCCCCAGGACCGAUGUUAACGCAGAGGGUCCUUGUGCAGGAAUUGUGCAGAAACUAGGUGGGAAGGUGUCACAGACAAGAGGCUGCAAUUUAAAAACGCAUCAGGAAAUGGAAAAGAGCUGCGAGAAUAUCAAUUAUUUAAUGAUGUUGAUAAAAACAAAUUUAAUAUAAAAAUGAGAUACAAUGUAUAGAGACCUAACCCUGUCAACAGCAACUAAACUUUACUUUCAUGUUAGAAAGUUUUGUGCCAUGUAGAUUUAUGGAAAAUGUGCUUAAUUGCCUCUAGAAAAUAAUGAAGAGGCUUCGUCACCUCCAUAGAAGAUCCUGUGACACUAGCCUAAUUCUGACACAUGGCUCCUGUUUUCCAUUUUGUUUGUUUUUUUAUGCUGAUCCUCUCUCCAGAGAUGUGAUGUGGAUUGAUUAACUUGUAAUAUAAAGUUCUAUGGUUUCUGAAAAUGCAGAGCAAAUAGAGAUGAAGAGUGGUUUGUGAUUUGUUAUUAAAUGAUCUUCCCUUCUACAUUUAGGACUGAUUUUUACUGUAGAAUUUUUUUUUUUUUUUUUUUUUUUUUUUUUUGUCAACUUGAACAGCAAUACCUUGAAGGUAAAAGGUGGGAGCACGACUGGAGUGUGGAACUGGAAAGCAGAAACCAGGGGUGUUACUUCUAUGUCUAGUAUGGAAUGUUGUGAAUUUAAGUUAGAGCUUCUGUGUCCUGGGAAUUCAUAUUUUAUCUCAAAGUGGUGCUGAUAGGACUGGAGGUAGCUGUAUUUCAUUUGAAACAUUCCAGCCUCUUUAUAGGAAUAUCUGUGAAUUUUUAAUUCAGCAAACAUCUUUAAGUGUGUCAUUUAUGUAUAGCGUUGUAGUCAGAGCUGUAAUUGUUUCACCAUUAAAUUUACGGAAAUUCAGUUUGUAAGUGAAAAAUUAAGAACAGUUUGAAAGAAGGGCGAAUGAGCAGAGCAUUGCCAUCUAAACAGUCUUGUUAAAGAUAGUGCCAAGUGAGCAGGACUGUCCCUUCUAAGCUGCCCCUCCUAAUUAAAGGGAAAGGUGGCUGCCAUCUGUCUUCUUUCAUUCAAGGCAGUAGGGGGUCUAGGGUGGAAGGAAGCAACCCCCACUUUAUUUUUCUCCCACUCUUUUUUAUAGUCAGCUUUCUCCCUAGUCAGUGACCCAGAAGGUCAUUGAUGAUCUGUCUAUCUCAGAAUGAAUAGUAGCAUAAGCACGCUUGGCACUUGCAAAAAAAAGAAAGUUUAUAACAUGCACUGAUCCAUUUAAAGUUCUGCUUGAAUUAUGUCUGAGAGUAUUGUAAUCUCUGUAUUGGUGUCUCUGCCCUGUUUGUUACCAAGGGCACUACUGGCAGGAAAAGUGGGGAGUUUUACUUUUAUUGAUUUUGCUUUUUCAUGAAAAAAUGUUUACACUCCACUGGGCAUAAUCAGAAGAUGGCAGCACAUGGCUAUGUACAGGAGAUGUGGGGAUGUACAGGAAUAUUGUUCUUAUCAAAAUCAAGGACACCUAUUAAUGAUGAUACAUAUAUGUCAUCUCAGGGGAAAGCAUGAACAAGCAUGGCAACAGAUGUCCAAGUUACUCAGUGGCCUGCUGCAGCUUUUUGGACCAGUUAUUGAAAUAAUUCACAUUGUUUAGCUUUUGUUAAGCAAUAAGGCUUUUAGCCUUUUUCUUGUAAGAAUACGUUGCAGGAGAGUUUAGUUUGGGGUCAUGUCUUCAUUGCUUUGGAAAUGUAGAAUAGUCCUCCAACAAAAUGACUGCAUUUGCUUGCCUUCGUUUCCACCUCUGUAAAUAGAAGAAAUAUCUGCUGUUUUUAUAAAUAUAUAAGAGAAUAUGAAAUAUUUUCCAUCUUUCAUAAGAACUGUGUUAUAACUGAAAAAUUCUCAAAUCUUCAGUUAUGUUUAUUUUCAAUUUUUACACACUUAAGCAAGGUGUUAACAGUCUUCUAAAGAGAUUCAGUUGUUACAAGCCUUGUUUAGUUCCCAAGUAGCAGGUAUGGACUUCUCAGAACAUACUGGUUUUUAGAACUCUCUUUGUGACACAGAAGUGUGGUAUUUCUUAA
rnacentral:lncRNA from 1 species